GGUUAAGCGACUAAGCGUACACGGUGGAUGCCCUGGCAGUCAGAGGCGAUGAAGGACGUGCUAAUCUGCGAUAAGCGUCGGUAAGGUGAUAUGAACCGUUAUAACCGGCGAUUUCCGAAUGGGGAAACCCAGUGUGUUUCGACACACUAUCAUUAACUGAAUCCAUAGGUUAAUGAGGCGAACCGGGGGAACUGAAACAUCUAAGUACCCCGAGGAAAAGAAAUCAACCGAGAUUCCCCCAGUAGCGGCGAGCGAACGGGGAGCAGCCCAGAGCCUGAAUCAGUGUGUGUGUUAGUGGAAGCGUCUGGAAAGGCGCGCGAUACAGGGUGACAGCCCCGUACACAAAAAUGCACAUGCUGUGAGCUCGAUGAGUAGGGCGGGACACGUGGUAUCCUGUCUGAAUAUGGGGGGAC
rnacentral:rRNA from 2 species